rnacentral:rRNA from 1 species
CCUACGGGUGGCAGCAGUGAGGAAUAUUGGUCAAUGGGCGAGAGCCUGAACCAGCCAAGUCGCGUGAGGGAGUACUGCCCUAUGGGUUGUAAACCUCUUUUGUCGGGGAGCAAAAGCCCGACGUGUCCCGCUUUGAGAGUACCCGAAGAAAAAGCAUCGGCUAACUCCGUGCCAGCAGCCGCGGUAAUACGGAGGAUGCGAGCGUUAUCCGGAUUUAUUGGGUUUAAAGGGUGCGUAGGCGGGAGUUUAAGUCAGCGGUAAAAUUGCGGGGCACAACCCCGUCCAGCCGUUGAAACUGGGGAUCUAGAGUGGGCGAGAGGUAUGCGGAAUGCGUGGUGUAGCGGUGAAAUGCAUAGAUAUCACGCAGAACCCCGAUUGCGAAGGCAGCAUACCGGCGCACAACUGACGCUGAGGCACGAAAGCGUGGGUAUCGAACAGGAUUAGAUACCCUUGUAGUC